GCCGCUGUUAUAAAAGCUUUCCUGUGCUAUGUAACAUCGGGAAGAACCAUCUAAUUUGUUAGCUUGCACUCAGAGCAGCCCUUAUAAAGACUUUCCCAUGCUAUGUAACAUCAGGAAGAGAUCUCUCAAGACUUAUUGUGGAAAUUUGCCAUAUUUUGUCAUUAAUUUUGUGAUCUUAACUUGAUCUCAAGAUCAUGUGAUUAAGGG